rnacentral:rRNA from 1 species
GAUGAACGCUGGCGGCGUGCCUAAUACAUGCAAGUCGAGCGAACGGACGAGAAGCUUGCUUCUCUGAUGUUAGCGGCGGACGGGUGAGUAACACAUGGAUAACCUACCUAUAAGACUGGGAUAACUUCGGGAAACCGCAGCUAAUACCGGAUAAUAUUUUGAACCGCAUGGUUCAAAAGUGAAAGACGGUCUUGCUGUCACUUAUAGAUGGAUCCGCGCUGCAUUAGCUAGUUGGUAAGGUAACGGCUUACCAAGGCAACGAUGCAUAGCCGACCUGAGAGGGUGAUCGGCCACACUGGAACUGAGACACGGUCCAGACUCCUACGGGAGGCAGCAGUAGGGAAUCUUCCGCAAUGGGCGAAAGCCUGACGGAGCAACGCCGCGUGAGUGAUGAAGGUCUUCGGAUCGUAAAACUCUGUUAUUAGGGAAGAACAUAUGUGUAAGUAACUGUGCACAUCUUGACGGUACCUAAUCAGAAAGCCACGGCUAACUACGUG